rnacentral:rRNA from 1 species
UGGACGCAGUCUGAUGGAGCAACGCCGCGUGAGUGAAGAAGGGUUUCGGCUCGUAAAGCUCUGUUGUUAAAGAAGAACGUGGGUAAGAGUAACUGUUUACCCAGUGACGGUAUUUAACCAGAAAGCCACGGCUAACUACGUGCCAGCAGCCGCGGU